rnacentral:lncRNA from 1 species
AUGCUCACGCUGCUGUCUGCUCACAGUCACACACGCAUGCUACCUCUGUACGCCAUCACACAUUCACACUGCCUUGUGCAUACCAUCACACGCACAUGCUGUUUUCUGCACACCAUCGCUCACUUGCAUUGCCUUCUGUACACCAUCAUAUGGGCACCCAAGCCUCCGUACACUCUUCUCACUCACACUGCCUUCUGCACAGCAUCCAGACUCACGCUGCCUGUACACGCCAUUCCACACACACGCUGCCUGUACACGCCAUUCCACACACAUGCUGCCUGUGCACACCAUUCCGCACACACACUGCCUGUACACGCCAUUCCGCACACACACUGCCUGUGCACACCAUUCCACACACACGCUGCCUGUACACACCAUUCCACACACACGCUGCCUGUACACACCAUUCCACACACACGCUGCCUGUACACGCCAUUCCUCACACACGCUGCCUGUACACGCCAUUCCUCACACACGCUGCCUGUACACACCAUUCCACACACACGCUGCCUGUGCACGCCAUUCCACACACACGCUGCCUGUGCACGCCAUUCCACACACACAUGCUGCCUGUACACGCCAUUCCUCACACAUGCUGCCUGUACACGCCAUUCCUCACACACGCUGCCUGUACACGCCAUUCCACACACACGCUGCCUGUGCACGCCAUUCCACACACACGCUGCCUGUACACGCCAUUCCACACACACGCUGCCUGUACACGCCAUUCCACACACACGCUGCCUGUACACGCCAUUCCACACACACGCUGCCUGUGCACGCCAUUCCACACACACGCUGCCUGUGCACGCCAUUCCACACACACGCUGCCUGUACACGCCAUUCCACACACACGCUGCCUGUACACGCCAUUCCACACACACGCUGCCUGUGCACACCAUUCCACACACACGCUGCCUGUGCACGCCAUUCCACACACACGCUGCCUGUACACGCCAUUCCACACACACGCUGCCUGUACACGCCAUUCCACACACACGCUGCCUGUACACGCCAUUCCACACACACGCUGCCUGUGCACACCAUUCCACACACACGCUGCCUGUGCACGCCAUUCCACACUCACGCUGCCUGUACACGCCAUUCCACACACACGCUGCCUGUACACACCAUUCCUCACACACGCCUACUGUACACGCCAUCGCAUGCUCACACCCCGCUUCCUUUUGCUCCUGGUCUCUGUGUUGUUGGUUUCCACAUCAGACCCAACCUUGGGUCUGGCUACUUCCGCUGCCUCAGCAGUGCCUUUCCCCCGUGACCACGGAGCCGCCUUCUCCUGCCAGGAGCGAGCCAGUCUCUGCCUGGCUGAGCUCCUUGCGGACUUCUGACCCCCACAGCUCUCGGGGAACUUUGAAGCGUGUCCCUGCCCACGCACGCUUCCUGCCCUUGGUGGCCUCAGCACAUCUGGGUUCUUUUUCCCAAAGAUUUAUUUAUUUAUUUGAAAGGUAG